rnacentral:tRNA from 1 species
GCCGAGGUGGCGGAACUGGCAGACGCGCGAGACUCAAAAUCUCGUGGUAGACAACUACCGUGCGGGUUCGACUCCCGCCCUCGGCA